AAAUCCCCCAGUUGACCAACAGAGGGUACUACUCCUCUUCUGAGCUGGGCACUUACGGGAUCUGCUGAGUAUGGUGAGGAGAAAAAAGUUAGCUGAUCACAGGUACCCACUUUCAACCUUCUAGUCCAUACGUGGGCCUUGUCCUUAGUAGGGCUACGUCAGAAACCCCACAAUACUGAACGCUCAACAUUUCACUGAAGUAAAUGGCAUUCUGAGUCAUGGUACUUGUGACCUCGCAAAGAGACCCACUGAGCCUUCCUGAGGAGGUAUGCAAACAGGUUGCUCAAGUCCUCGCUGCAUUUCAGAAGAUUAGUUAUUUGGAACAAGACAUGUACGUUUCCUCUGUUCAUUCCAGACUCUAAAUCUGCUUGAUUUCAACAGUUGUCUGCAUUUUAGCUCAGUCAUUUGUAGUUCCUAGACAGGGCACAGUUUUCCCCUUGCUCAGGAGUUUGUCCAUACUUUCCCUCAAAGUGACUUCAUGCCCAUCACACUUACAAUGAUUCUUGUCCAGUAGGAACAUACCAGGCUUGGUCUGUGACAGGAACUCGAAUUCACCAACUUUAAAGAUUACUCUACAUAUAACACUUUCUCUGCUUUUAAGAAGUGCACAGUGGAAUAACACGUUAAGAACAUACAUUGUGAAAUGAUUACCGAGAUCAACAUCCACCAAAUGCUCAUCCUUUCACAGAACUUCCCCAGAUUGAAACCAGUGUCCAUGCAUUAUGUCUACUGGGAAAAACAAAACAGUCCAACACAAAUCAACAAGAGGAGAAAAGCACCCCCGCCCCUGAAGAGACAGCCCCCUAACUCAAAGACUCACUGGAACAAGUUAUACACUUAUCCAGGUUAAGCACAGUGUUGACUGGGUGUUCUCCUUGGCAGCUAGUUUCAUAAAUUAGUAGAGAGCUACUUCCGUGCAUACAGGUAAUAGUAAGAUUGGAAUCAAGGCAUGUUCAGUCAUUCAGAGCUGAGGGACUAAAAUCACAACUGUGAGUAGCAUGAAUGAUCAUAAAGAAACUGCUAUGUAAAAUUAUACGUGAGGGCUAGAAUUUGGUUUCUAUCUCAGAGCACCACCACUCCAUUAUCUAAAAGCUUGCAUGCUUUAACCUUCCUAUAUGAGUUGGCAAUGAUAUUUCUGAACCUCAAUAGUUUGGUAGAUUUUGUGAAUUAAUACUUGCCAAGGUU